rnacentral:rRNA from 1 species
UACGUAGGGUGCAAGCGUUGUCCGGAAUUAUUGGGCUUAAAGAGCUCGUAGGCGGCUUGUCACGUCGACUGUGAAAACCCGGGGCUCAACUCCGGGCCUGCAGUCGAUACGAGCUGGCUUGAGUGCGGUAGGGGAGACUGGAAUACCUGGUGUAGCGGUGAAAUGCGCAGAUAUCAGGAGGAACACCGGUGGCGAAGGCGGGUCUCUGGGCCGAUACUGACGCUGAGGAGCGAAAGCGUGGGGAGCGAACAGG